rnacentral:rRNA from 1 species
GACGAACGCUGGCGGCGUGCUUAACACAUGCAAGUCGAACGGAAAGGCCCUGCUUUUGUGGGGUGCUCGAGUGGCGAACGGGUGAGUAACACGUGAGUAACCUGCCCUUGACUUUGGGAUAACUUCAGGAAACUGGGGCUAAUACCGGAUAGGAGCUCCUGCUGCAUGGUGGGGGUUGGAAAGUUUCGGCGGUUGGGGAUGGACUCGCGGCUUAUCAGCUUGUUGGUGGGGUAGUGGCUUACCAAGGCUUUGACGGGUAGCCGGCCUGAGAGGGUGACCGGACCGCGGGGGCGGGAGCUACGCGCCAGCGGCGCGGGGGAGGGAGGAGUGUGUCAUAGAGAAGGCGCGGGGGCAGCCGGGCGCGCGGGUGCGGCGUGGGGGACGACGGGCUGCGGUGCGGCAACCGCGCUGGCCGUGGAGGGAGGGUGAGUGAGGGGGGGGGACAAGCUAGCACCGGAGAACUACGCGCCAGCAGCGGGGUGAAUAAGGGGACACGGCCCCUCCUGCUC